rnacentral:rRNA from 1 species
UUUAAAUUUAGAGUUUGAUCCUGGCUCAGGACGAACGCUGGCGGCGUGCUUAACACAUGCAAGUCGAGCGAUGAAGCUUCCUUCGGGAAGUGGAUUAGCGGCGGACGGGUGAGUAACACGUGGGUAACCUGCCUCAAAGUGGGGGAUAGCCUUCCGAAAGGAAGAUUAAUACCGCAUAACAUAAGAGAAUCGCAUGAUUUUUUUAUCAAAGAUUUAUUGCUUUGAGAUGGACCCGCGGCGCAUUAGCUAGUUGGUAAGGUAACGGCUUACCAAGGCAACGAUGCGUAGCCGACCUGAGAGGGU